rnacentral:lncRNA from 10 species
CUGGGCUCCAGGGACCUGGUAGGUGUUCCCUGGAAAAGUAUUGAGAAACCUGCGAGAGGGGAGCUCGAAGUUCCCAACAGCUGCAGGCCUGACCCCAGAGGGCCCUUGGGAGUUAACUCUGCAGCUGUCCGUGGGUGGGAGGAACCGGCCUCCAAAGGCCUCACCUGUGGCUUCCUGCGUUCCCAGCCCUACACUGGCUUACCUGUGGCAGGCCAGGGCCUGCGCGGAGCUGCUUCCCAGAGCUUAGGUGAGCUGUCCCCGUGAGCAGCUCUCUGGGGUUGUGCUCAGGCCUGCGUUCCCUGCUGACGACAGGCAGUGAGUCCAGACUCCACAUGAACCUCACCUCAUCCUCCAGGCACGGCUGUGGCCAGGUCACCGGGAAGCCCUGCGCUGGGAGGGGCCAUUGAGGUAAGUGCCUUACUAAGGUUUUCCACUUUCUGCAGGAGCCUCCCUGCCCCAGGGCAGCAGGAGGGGCCUCAGUUGCCACCUCCCGUCUUGGGGUGCAGUGCAGGUCUGCCGUCUAGACCCCUCCAGGCCUGGGCAAACAGCACCCCCGCCCAGGCCACCACCAGCCUGGUCCAGAGUGUAGGGUUUUCUCAGAUUGCUGUGGAAGGUCAUUGGCAGCACAGCACACGGCACCAGCAAGGUCAGGAACAAACCAAGAAGCCCACAGUGCAGCCUCCACAGCAGCCAUGAAAAGAAAAUAUGAAUUUUAAAGUAACAGUGCCACUGUGCACUGCUGGUGGGAAUGUAAGGUGGCACAACCACUGUGGAGAACAGUCUGGCGAUUCAGAAAUUCAAACAGUACUACUACCCUAGGAUCCAGUGUUCCACCUCCGGGUGUACACCCGAAGAAGUGAAAGCUGGAACGCCAAAAGAUUGCACGUCCAUGUCCACGCAGCACUGUCCACAGCAGCAAAAGGUGGAAACAACCCACGUGUCCUUAGAUGAGUAGAUAAACAAACCAAGGUGCGUCUUUCGGUACAAUGGAAUAUUACUCAGCCUUGUAAAGGCAAGUGACACAUGCUACAACAUGGAGGAACUUUGAGGACAUUAUUCUAAGUGGUAGAAGCCAAUCACAAAAGGACAAAUGCUGUAUGACUCCAUGAAUCUUGAGGUGUGCCUGGCACAGUCAGAUUCAUAAAGACAAAGUAGAUUAGAGGCUGCCAGGAACUGGGGGGAAGGAAUGACUUAGUUUCUAAUAGGGACAGAGUUUCUGCUUAGAAUGCUUAACAAGUUCUGGAUAUGGUGCGGAUGGUUGCACAUUUUAUGUUAUAUAUGUUUUAUGACAAUUAAGAAAUGACCUGUAAGCCUGCCAUCUGGAUAACUCCAGUAAACACAUCUUAAUUUAUGUGAACUAUGGUGUGUAUUUGUAAUAUAUAUGUGUUACCUAAAGUUACACAUGUUUAAAAAAUUCAGGCCAGG